CUGAGGAGCUGUGUGUGCAAAUACUAGACAGUGUGGCUGGAAGUUACUGCUGCUAACUGUAAAUUAAGUUUGGAAACACAGAGUGCCAAUGGUUUUCCGUUCCUCAGCAUUUGGCCAGGCCUUGCCUUCCUACCCUUUUCUUUGGGGGUACAAGAGGAAACCCAGUGAGUCUGGAAGACCCGAGGCAGACUUAGGAGCAGGGAAGUCUCCCUGACCGGGGAGUGUCCUCCCACUUCUCCCUCCACCCCUGAGCGUCCUCAGCUACUCGGAUCCCUUCCAGCCCAGUGCCAAGGCUACUGACUCAUUCCCAUUCAGGCCUAGACCUGUGCUCGAACAGGGCCUAGGAGUCUCCACUCUCCUUCUGCCAGUGAGGAUGGCAAAUAUUUUCCCGAGAACGUGAAACCCACACGGGCCUCUCAGAGGCCAGAUCCUGGCUAGGCCUCCCGGAUUGCUCAAGCAUCUCUCUACUUCCUCCCCCUCUCCUCCUUCUCUUUUUUUUUUUUUUUGCCUCUUAUGGAAGCUAUACAGAGCUUGAGCAGCACUCUGAAAUAAUUGGGUCAAGUCAGCAAUGUGUAGGGAGGUGGAGACAAUUGGACUGCGUAGGUGACUGUGUAUCAGGCUGCAGCUGACACACCAGUAGCCAAACGGGAAAAUCUGGAACAUCCGUGUGCUGACUACUCAACUCCCCAUCACCUACGGGACCAAGCCCAGCUCUACACAGAAAGCUAGAACCCAUUCUGCUGACCCCAGAUGACGAAGACAUGUCUUAGCCAGAGUCUGUUGGUGGCUGCUGGACCAACCUGUAGACGAAGUUAAUUAUCUAAGGACAUACUCUUUGGGCAGGCUUCAUUCUCCUCUCAGCAAAUAUUGUGCCCAAAUAAAUGUUUUCAGUUGAUGA